rnacentral:lncRNA from 1 species
ACGCAUCGCAGGCGAAGCUUUUCUGACCGUGGAAGUCUCCAAGGUUUGGCCUUUCGGCGGCUGUGGCGGACGAUGGUCGGGAAGCGCGGCUGGUUCAGGAAGCUCAACAAGACGCACCAUUGGCCGUGGAAGCCAAGCUUCUCCGCUUCCUGGCGGUGGAAGGGCCCCAAGCUCCGGUUCUCCCUCCUCGACGACCUCGCCUUCCACGUCCUCUACUUCCUUGAGGCCGUCGUCCUCGUCGCCGGCUUCUGCUGCUUCUUCCUCUGCUGCGGCUGCCACAUCUGAUUCGCUCUUUUGCUUUCUGUCUUCUCGAGGUUGCUGCCAUGGCUGCCUGCCUCCGGUCCAAGGCAGACCACCUCCGCGACCCAUGUGCGGAGCUCGAUCCCUGGCAGAAGGACCUCCUGAAGCGCUCGAGGGACUGCCC